AAAAUCCCUAAUAUUAACAAAGAUAGAUAAACUUAUCUAUUGCUCUAAGAAUUUUUUAUCUCGUGUGGUAGUAGUUAAGGUAAACUAGAACUAGCUAUAUAAAUACACGUAGUCGAAACUGAAAGGGUUGAUCGAUCACAAUGUGGCCUGAACAAAGCCCAUGACGAUAGGAGCAGCAGUGAGGAAUAUUGGUCAAUAGCCUAACGGCUGAACCAGCAACUUGAAGGAAUGUAAGGCAAUAGCUGAUUGCAUUAAAUUUUUAAUGUAGUUACUACUUGGUAGUUUAAAUUUCUAGGUAGAAUUAUGAUGAUGACAUUAUCUAUCUAUAAGUCUUGACCAAAUUACGUGCCAGCAGUCGCGGUAAUACGUAAAAGACGAGUGUUAUUCAUCUUUAUUGGGUUUAAAGAGUACCAAGACGGUUAAUAAAGCCCAGAAAUACAUGAGCAAAGGGGACACAUUAACUAGAGUUAUAUGAAAGGAAGCAUUAAAGUACUGUUGAGUGUAGAGAUAAAAUUCAGUAAUACCAUCUAAGGCACAGAUUUAUGCGAAGGCAUCUUCUUAUGUAAUAACUGACGUUGUAGGACGAAGGCUUUUGGAGUGAAGAGGAUUAGAUACCCUUGUAAUCUAAGCAGAAAAUGAUGAAUGUCAUAGGUUUAGUAUAUACACCAAAAAAAAAAUGGCCAAUAUAUUAUUGGGUCUAUAAAUGAAAGUGUAAGCAUUCCCCCUCAAGAGAAUUUGGCAACAUUGGAACUGAAAUCAUUAGACCGUUUCUGAAACCAGUAGUGAAGUAUGUUGUUUAAUUAGAUGAUACACAAAGAACCUUACCACAAUUUGAAUAUAUAUCAUUAAUGAUAUUUACAAGCGUUGCACGGCUGUCUACAGUUAAUGUCGUGAGGCUUUGGUUAGUUCCAAAAAAUUAACGUAAACCCUCAUUUUAUUUAUAAAUAAAAUUUACAAUCUGUUUCGUAGAGAUUUGAUAUUAGAAAAGGGACUA
rnacentral:rRNA from 1 species